CCAAUAGCGUAUAUUAAAGUUGUUGCAGUUAAAAGCUCGUAGUUGAAUUUCGGGAUCAAGUCGUCGGUCGUGCCUCGGUACGCACUGGUGACAUUGGUUUCUCCCUUCUGAAGAACCUUGAUGUCAUUAAUUUGGUGUCUUGGGGAAUCAGGACUGUUACUUUGAAAAAAUUAGAGUGUUUAAAGCAGGCUCACGCUUGAAUACAUUAGCAUGGAAUAAUGAAAUAGGACGUUUGAUUCUAUUUUGUUGGUUUCUAGGAUCGAAGUAAUGAUUAAUAGGGAUAGUUGGGGGCAUUAGUAUUCAAUUGUCAGAGGUGAAAUUCUUGGAUUUAUUGAAGACUAACUACUGCGAAAGCAUUUGCCAAGGAUGUUUUCAUUAAUCAAGAACGAAAGUUAGGGGAUCGAAGACGAUCAGAUACCGUCGUAGUCUUAACCAUGAACUAUGCCGACUAGGGAUCGGAUGAUGUUAAUUUUUUAAUGACUCAUUCGGCGCCUUACG
rnacentral:misc_RNA from 1 species